rnacentral:tRNA from 1 species
UUCCGGAUGGCGCAGUGGUUAACGCACCUGCCUACUAAGCAGGAGAUCGUGGGUUCGAAUCCCGGGCUGGUAAA